UCAAGCAAUCCCCCUGCCUUGGCCUCCCAAGGUGCUGGGAUUUCAGAGGAGUUUGAAAUUCUUGCUUCAGGCCAUAUGGAGUGGAUAUUCCUUCCAGAAGGAAAUUACAGACCACUCUCUGUUUCUACUCAACUGCUUUUCAAUCCGCAAGUGGACUCUUUGAAGCAGCCUUUUAUUUACCUCAGAUUCUGACAUGAAUAAUUGUUUAAUUGCCUUUCAGCCUACACAAGAUAAGGAACCAUGUCUCAAAAGUUGUGUAAUUCUCUUAACUAAACAAUAGCCAAGCCAUCCGGAGUAGUUUUCAAAGAAAGAAAAGAAUUCCUCACACAUGUUAAGCAUUUUAUUCUUUUCAAAGUGCAUUGCUCUGUAUUAUUUCCCUAAAUUGGAUAAUGUCUACGAAAGCACUGUGUAAAUUACAUCCCAUAACAAAAAAGUAAAAUGUUAUAACAAUGA